rnacentral:antisense_RNA from 2 species
UUUGACACGACAUUGCUCACAUUGCUUCCAGUGUAAUUUAUAGCUUUAUCGUAAGGCUGAAUGAAU